rnacentral:lncRNA from 1 species
GUCUCUCCUCAUCUCCAAAUUCCUGUAUUUUUUUGUUAACAUCAUUUUUUUUUAUUAGAGGGGAGAAUGAAAAAGGAAUUUGGGGAGAGAGAGAGAGAGAGACAUCGCAAUGUGACCCGUGAUCAUCACAAGCCCAGUCUGUGGACUCUUGUCCUCGAUUGAAUUAAAUCAUGGUUAAUUGUAAACACAGGUGUCACGCAAGAACAGAUGUUGUAAAUAACGAUCUAAUCUUACUUCAAUGGGGCCAUAAAGUUAUGUUACUGGAAACAAUAUAUAAGUGGGCAUGAGAACUUUGAUGGAUGCUGUCGAAUUAGUUGGCCAAGGAAAUUUGGUGUAUCUCGUGUUUCCUGCUUCGCUGCUCAUCUCAGCUCAUCUGGAUUGCCCAUCUUUACUAUUAUCCUCUGCAUCAAUCUUCGACAGCCAAGAAGAAAAAAGUCAAUGCCGACCAGACAAACAUCAUCCUUGCAUCGACACCAUUCUGCCGUACUGCUGUAAUUGUGCUGUACCUGCUG